GACGGACGCUGGCGGCGUGCUUAACACAUGCAAGUCGAACGGAACGUCCCCGGCUUGCUGGGCUCCUCGAGUGGCGAACGGGUGAGUAACACGUGGGUUAUCUGCCCUGCACCCUGGGAUAAGCUUGGGCCACUGGGUCUAAUACCGGCUAGGACCGUGCUUUAGUGUGUGCGCCGGCGAGGUUUUCGGUGCAGGAUGGGCCAGCGGCCUAUCAGCUUGUCGGUCGGGUACUGGUCUACCAAGUCGACGACGGGCAGCCGGCCUGAGAGGGUGGACGGACACACUGGAACUGAAACACGGCCCAGACUACUACGGGAGGCAACGGUGGGGAAGGGUGCACAAGGGGCGCAAGCCUGGUGCAGCGACGCCGCGUGGGGGGUGACGGCAAGCGGGUUGUAAACCCCAUUCGGCAGGGACGAAGCGUUAGUGACGGUACCGGCAGAAGAAGCACCGGCUAACUACGUG
rnacentral:rRNA from 1 species